GAUAGCGUGGCUUAGAUGUUUGAGUAUUGGCCUGCAACUCUGACAACCAGGGUUCAAAUCCCAGCUCAACCA